GACGAACGCUGGCGGCGUGCUUAACACAUGCAAGUCGAGCGGAGCGGCGAACGGGUGAGUAACGCGUGAGUAACUGCCCCCCUCCCUGGGAUAAAAGUUGGAAACGGCUGCUAAUACCGGAUAGUGGGGGAUGAAUCGCGGCCUAUCAGCUUGUUGGUGGGGUAGUGGCCCCCCAAGGCGACGACGGGUAGCCGGCCUGAGAGGGCGACCGGCCACAAUGGGCUGAGUGACGGCGCAAACUCCAACGGGAGGCAGCAGGGGGGAAUAGUGCACAAUCGGGGAAACCCUGAUGCAGCAGCGCCGCGUGCGUGAUGACGGCCUUCGGGUUAUAAACCGCUUUCAGCCAUGACGCGGUAGUGGCAGAAGAAGCACCGGCUAACUACGUGCCAGCAGCCGCGGUAAUAC
rnacentral:rRNA from 1 species